rnacentral:rRNA from 1 species
AUGCAAGUCGAGCGGUAACAUUUCUAGCUUGCUAGAAGAUGACGAGCGGCGGACGGGUGAGUAAUACUUAGGAAUCUACCUAGUAGUGGGGGAUAGCUCGGGGAAACUCGAAUUAAUACCGCAUACGACCUACGGGAGAAAGGGGGCAACUUGUUGCUCUCGCUAUUAGAUGAGCCUAAGUCGGAUUAGCUAGAUGGUGGGGUAAAGGCCUACCAUGGCGACGAUCUGUAGCUGGUCUGAGAGGAUGAUCAGCCACACCGGGACUGAGACACGGCCCGGACUCCUACGGGAGGCAGCAGUGGGGAAUAUUGGACAAUGGGGGAAACCCUGAUCCAGCCAUGCCGCGUGUGUGAAGAAGGCCUUUUGGUUGUAAAGCACUUUAAGCAGUGAAGAAGACUCUUCGGUUAAUACCCGGAGACGAUGACAUUAGCUGCAGAAUAAGCACCGGCUAACUCUGUGCCAGCAGCCGCGGUAAUACAGAGGGUGCAAGCGUUAAUCGGAAUUACUGGGCGUAAAGCGAGCGUAGGUGGCUUGAUAAGUCAGAUGUGAAAUCCCCGGGCUUAACCUGGGAACUGCAUCUGAUACUGUCAGGCUAGAGUAGGUGAGAGGAAGGUAGAAUUCCAGGUGUAGCGGUGAAAUGCGUAGAGAUCUGGAGGAAUACCGAUGGCGAAGGCAGCCUUCUGGCAUCAUACUGACACUGAGGCUCGAAAGCGUGGGUAGCAAACAGGAUUAGAUACCCUGGUAGUCCACGCCGUAAACGAUGUCUACUACGUCGUUGGGUCCCUUGAGGACUUAGUGACGCAGCUAACGCACUAAGUAGACCGCCUGGGGAGUACGGCCGCAAGGUUAAAACUCAAAUGAAUU